AGUCGACGAGGACGGAACAGGCGGCCGUCGCACCUUAAUGGUCUUAAAGAGAUGCGGGCAGGUCAUCCCGCCGGGGUU
rnacentral:ncRNA from 1 species